rnacentral:lncRNA from 1 species
AAAGAAACUUCACUGCAAAAGUUGAAGACUGAGCUAGAAAUUUACAAAGAAAAUAAUGUGCAACAGUCGUUCCAGAUAAUGUCCCUGAAAGAUAAUAUCAAGGACCUACAGGAACUUAUUGCUUCUCUAACCAGAAUUAAGUAUUUGAGAAACACCAAUAUUCAGAGCCUUGAAAGAGGCAACUGGGAUUUAACUGAAGGAGUUACAGAACUAGAACACCUAGUUCUAAGCUCAGCAACUUUCAAGAAACUAUUAUGAAGAUGUUGAGAUCUGACAUGAAAACAGCAGACAAGGAAAUCAUCAAUUGGCUAAAGCUUAUUAUACAACUUCAUGAAAUAUCUAACAAAUCAAAAAUUGCUUCUGAUUGUGAGACUGGAAAGGUUAAUUAAUAAAGCCAUUCUGCCUCUUCAUUGCUGCCAAGAACUCAGCAGAUAUGGAUAUCCUCCAGCAUCUUGGAUGUAGCUAAAUUGUGAAUAAAAUGCAGUGGAAAUUUUUC